rnacentral:rRNA from 1 species
AAAAGGUGGCUAUGCUACCGCUUUUGGAUGGGCCCGCGGCGCAUUAGCUAGUUGGUGGGGUAAAGGCUUACCAAGGCAAUGAUGCGUAGCCGAACUGAGAGGUUGAUCGGCCACAUUGGGACUGAGACACGGCCCAAACUCCUACGGGAGGCAGCAGUAGGGAAUCUUCCACAAUGGGCGAAAGCCUGAUGGAGCAACGCCGCGUGGGUGAAGAAGGUCUUCGGAUCGUAAAACCCUGUUGUUAGAGAAGAAAGUGCGUGAGAGUAACUGUUCACGUUUCGACGGUAUCUAACCAGAAAGCCACGGCUAACUACGUGCCAGCAGCCGCGGUAAUACGUAGGUGGCAAGCGUUAUCCGGAUUUAUUGGGCGUAAAGGGAACGCAGGCGGUCUUUUAAGUCUGAUGUGAAAGCCUUCGGCUUAACCGGAGUAGUGCAUUGGAAACUGGGAGACUUGAGUGCAGAAGAGGAGAGUGGAACUCCAUGUGUAGCGGUGAAAUGCGUAGAUAUAUGGAAGAACACCAGUGGCGAAAGCGGCUCUCUGGUCUGUAACUGACGCUGAGGUUCGAAAGCGUGGGUAGCAAACAGGAUUAGAUACCCUGGU